AGUCCAUAACAAGUCCACCCUGGCCAUUCCGUUUCCGUUCGCCAUGGCAGAGUUCUGCGAAGUCGGCUGAACCCUAAGCCAAAGGCGACUUGUUCCACACUGUGCUCAGAGUAGUUCCCAAUCGUGCAACUUUCAGGCGAUUUGUGCCCGGGAGUGGAAUUAAGAUUGUGGCAGGGUGGGGGGUUUAGAUCAGAAGGUCUGCGCCGGCAAGUAUUCACAAGCGCCCUUGGCUUUUAGAUGUUCUUGUCCCCUGCGUAGAGAAGAGAGCGCAUGCGCAUGCGCAUGCUCCUCAGGACAAGUCGGAGUCAGGAAGAGGAUGGUUUGAGAGACCGCCCCACCUCCAUAACGAGAAAGACAAUGGACAGCUACACACUAAAGCCUGAGUCAGGAGGUGAAAGUUUCAGAAGAGUUUGGGUGGGAAAAGGAGCAAAAGAACUUUCAAGGUGGGUAUUGAAGAAAAUGAGGGCUGAGGUUACAGGUGCACUAAUGGCUUCAGUGGAUGAAAAUGUUCACUUCAUUCUUGAAGCUGUAAUUGUCUACACUGGGUUGGGCCUGUUCUUUUCUCUGUCAACUCGGACUUGUCUACAUUUCCACUUACAGGUGAGUUCAUUUUUCUUGCUCCUCAAAUUCUCAGAGUUGGCUGAUAUGUGCUCAUUUUUAGAAUAAAGGAAAACAGAUUAGUAUUUACUAAGCACGUAAUGUUUGUCAUGUAUUCUUUGACAAUAUACCAAUUCUUGCAUUUUGUCUUAGGGGAACUGCAGUGCUUUGAGAAUGAAUAAAAUCUCUCAGAGAUAUUAAGAGAAAUAUUCAUAGUCAUAGGUGUUAUAAUAAUUAAUUUGUGAGAAAUAUAUUUUAAGGAUACUUAUAUCUUUUGGUUAUCAAAAUGUUCACCACUACUCAUAGCAUGCAUGUAUGAUUCCUACAUAAAGCAGUUACUACUAUGAGGCUGCAAAAUUGUGAAUUCUUAACUGUAUUAUUGUUUCUAGAUUUAUAAUUAUUUUUCCAGUGAAGAAGAGCUUCAACUUAGACUGUGUUUACUUAUUUUUCUAUCAGUAUUAAAUUAUAAAAUUUUAUUUUUUUCAAUUGGUUAUUAUCUGUUAUUAUCAUUAUUGAUUUUGAUGUUGAAAUUACCCAGACAGGUCCCAUGGGAAUCCAUUCAAACUGACUUGUGUGUUAUUUCAACAUAUACCUAUUUUUUUUUUUUUAGUAUUUCCUUAUAUUUUUAAUACACCAGUAUAUUUUA